rnacentral:rRNA from 1 species
GUGAGGAUCUGCCCUUAGGAGGGGGAUAACGACUGGAAACGGUCGCUAAUACCGCAUAUGCCGAGAGGUGAAAUGAUUAAUUGCCUGAGGAUGAACUCGCGUCUGAUUAGCUAGUUGGAGUGGUAACGGCACACCAAGGCGACGAUCAGUAGCUGGUCUGAGAGGAUGAUCAGCCACACUGGGACUGAGACACGGCCCAGACUCCUACGGGAGGCAGCAGUGGGGAAUUUUCCGCAAUGGGCGAAAGCCUGACGGAGCAAGACCGCGUGAGGGAGGAAGGCCUACUGGUUGUAAACCUCUUUUGAUAGGGAAGAACACAAUGACGGUACCUAUCGAAUCAGCCUCGGCUAACUCCGUGCCAGCAGCCGCGGUAAUACGGAGGAGGCAAGCGUUAUCCGGAAUUAUUGGGCGUAAAGCGUCCGUAGGUGGUUUAUCAAGUCAGUUGUUAAAGCGUGGAGCUUAACUCCAUAAGGGCAAUUGAAACUGAUAGGCUAGAGUGCGAUAGGGGCAAGGGGAAUUCCCAGUGUAGCGGUGAAAUGCGUAGAUAUUGGGAAGAACAUCGGUGGCGAAAGCGCCUUGCUGGGUCUGCACUGACACUGAGGGACGAAAGCUAGGGGAGCGAAAGGGAUUAGAUACCCCU